UUUUUUAGCAAUCUUUAUGAAUUCUCAACAUAGCAUUUUUAUUUUUUUUUUUUUAUUUUUUUAUUCGUUUAUUUGUUUAUUUGUUUAUUUGUUUAUUCAUUUAUUCGUCCAUUCGUUUACUCGCUUACCUUUUUUCUGUUCCGCCUCUACCUACUUUUAAAAAGUAAAAGAAAAAAAAGAAUACUCCCAAUAGUACAUAUAUAAAAAAAAAAAAAAAAAAAAAAAAAAACUUCCAAAAUAUAUAAACAACCAUAGUAUUGAUAAAUAACACCUUGUUAAAGUAUUUAUUAACAUUGUGUACACAUACAUACAUACAUGCAUGCAUACAUACAUACAUACGUACAAAACCGAAAUCUCUGUGAUAAAACAAGACUAACAUGACGGAUUACAAAAUCGCAAGCACGUGUAUCGAACAUAUGAAAGAUAUUUGUAGUGAACUUUUAAAUGCUAAAGAAAAUGAAAUUUUUAAUAAACUUAGUUUAUAUGAUGAAUUAGAAUCUAAUUUUAAAAAAAUAAAUCCUAUUAUAACUCGUAUAAGACUAAGAAGGAACGAAACAAAUAAAGAAAAACAGGUCUAUGGUGAAAAAAUGAUUAAAAACAUAGAUUUAUUAUUAGAAAGAUAUGACAUACUAUGUAACAUAUAUGAAGAAGAACUGAUUGUUUUUAAGGAAAAUUAUGAAAUCGAAAAAAGAAAAAAAAUUGGUAAUAAAUUAUUACAAGAACAAAAAAAAAAAGAAGAAGAACAAGAACUGUUGAAGAGAGGAAGAAUAAAAACAUUACUAAAAAAAGAAAAAAUAAAAAAAAAAAAUGAACAAAAAUUAAAAAUGCUACAAGAACAACAAGAACAGGCUGAAAUACAAAAAAAAGAAAAGGAAGCCAUCGAAGCAAUCUUACAAAAAAGUUGUAAUUUUUAUUAUGAAUCAAUAUCAAAGACAUGUAGCAUAGAUAACGCAAUUAAAGAUAUUUAUUUGCAGUUAGGUGUCAUUUACGAGGAGCCUAUAUGUGUGCCCACAGACGCUGCUACGGAGAAUGCUACAGACGCUGCUACAGAGAAUGCUACAGACGCUGCUACAGAGAAUGCUACAAAUACUUCUACAGAUAAUGCUUCCACCUUGCAGGAAAAAUAUUACCUAAAUAAAUAUCACAGAAACAGGAAACAUUUGAUCGACUGUCUGUACUUAAUAUACAAAAGUAACAAAUUCGAUUCCUUUAAAAUGGCUUUAAAUCAUAUUAUCGAAUACUUGCAACAACUUGUAAAAAAUAUAGACAGUGAAGAAUUAAAACUAAUUAAUCUUGUAAAUCCAAUUUUUCAAAAAAAUAUAUUAUCUAAAAAAGGAACUUUAAUUUUAUUUGUUUUAAUUGGAUAUACUCUUAAAAAACCAGAGGAUAUAUAUCAGUUAUUAAUAAAAUUAAAUAAGGAAGUAAACCAUAAUAAUAUUUAUAUAUAUUUGCAAGAACCUAAUAUUACUACUAAUUAUGAAAAAUGGAAAAGUUGGUAUGAACAUAUACAAACGGCACUUACAAUUUUAUGCACUCUUUAUAGAUAUAUUAAUAAAUAUUCAGAUGUUCCUAAAGAUGAUCAGGUAAAAAGUAUUUUUUUAUUUUUGAAAGAAGAGUUU
ensembl:lncRNA